rnacentral:rRNA from 1 species
AUUGAACGCUGGCGGCAGGCUUAACACAUGCAAGUCGAACGAUGACUCUCUAGCUUGCUAGAGAUGAUUAGUGGCGGACGGGUGAGUAACAUUUAGGAAUCUACCUAGUAGUGGGGGAUAGCUCGGGGAAACUCGAAUUAAUACCGCAUACGACCUACGGGUGAAAGGGGGCGCAAGCUCUUGCUAUUAGAUGAGCCUAAAUCAGAUUAGCUAGUUGGUGGGGUAAAGGCCCACCAAGGCGACGAUCUGUAACUGGCCUGAGAGGAAGAUCAGUCACACCGGAACUGAGACACGGUCCGGACUCCUACGGGAGGCAGCAGUGGGGAAUAUUGGACAAUGGGGGCAACCCUGAUCCAGCCAUGCCGCGUGUGUGAAGAAGGCCUUUUGGUUGUAAAGCACUUUAAGCAGGGAGGAGAGGCUAAUGGUUAAUACCCAUUAGAUUAGACGUUACCUGCAGAAUAAGCACCGGCUAACUCUGUG